rnacentral:rRNA from 1 species
UUUGGCUGUCCGAGUUGUAAUCUAGAGAAGUGUUAUCCGCGCUGGACCGUGUACAAGUCUCCUGGAAUGGAGCGUCAUAGAGGGUGAGAAUCCCGUCUUUGACACGGACUGCCAGGGCUUUGUGAUGCGCUCUCAAAGAGUCGAGUUGUUUGGGAAUGCAGCUCAAAAUGGGUGGUAAAUUCCAUCUAAAGCUAAAUAUUGGCGAGAGACCGAUAGCGAACAAGUACCGUGAGGGAAAGAUGAAAAGAACUUUGGAAAGAGAGUUAAACAGUACGUGAAAUUGCUGAAAGGGAAACGCUUGAAGUCAGUCGCGUUGGCCGGGGAUCAACCUUGCUUUUGCUUGGCGUACUUCCCGGUUGAUGGGUCAGCAUCAAUUUUGACCGUUGGAUAAAGGUUAGGGGAAUGUGGCAUCUUCGGAUGUGUUAUAGCCCUUGGUCGCAUACAACGGUUGGGAUUGAGGAACUCAGCACGCCGCAAGGCCGGGUAUUUAUACUACGUUCGUGCUUAGGAUGCUGGCAUAAUGGCUUUAAUCGACCCGUCUUGAAACACGGACCAAGGAGUCUAACAUGCCUGCGAGUGUUUGGGUGGAAAACCCGAGCGCGUAAUGAAAGUGAAAGUUGAGAUCCCUGUCGUGGGGAGCAUCGACGCCCGGACCAGACCUUUUGUGACGGAUCCGCGGUAGAGCAUGUAUGUUGGGACCCGAAAGAUGGUGAACUAUGCCUGAAUAGGGUGAAGCCAGAGGAAACUCUGGUGGAGGCUCGUAGCGAUUCUGACGUGCAAAUCGAUCGUCAAAUUUGGGUAUAGGGGCGAAAG